rnacentral:rRNA from 1 species
AGUGAACGCUGGCGGUAGGCCUAACACAUGCAAGUCGAACGGCCGCACAGUAAGAGCUUGCUCUUACGGGUGGCGAGUGGCGGACGGGUGAGGAAUACAUCGGAAUCUACUUUUUCGUGGGGGAUAACGUAGGGAAACUUACGCUACUACCUCAUACGACCUACGGGUGAAAGCAGGGGAUCUUCGGACCUUGCGCGAUUGAUUGAGCCGAUGUCGGAUUAGCUAGUUGGCGUGGUAAAGGCCCACCAAGGCGACGAUCCGUAGCUGGUCUGAGAGGAUGAUCAGCCACACUGGAACUGAGACACGGUCCAGACUCCUACGGGAGGCAGCAGUAGGGAAUAUUGGGCAAUGGGCGAAAGCCUGAUCCAGCCAUACCGCGUGAGUGAAGAAGGCCUUCGGAUUGUAAAGCCCUUUUAUUAGGAAAGAAAAGCAGCAGGUUAAAACCCCGAUGUUCUGACGGUACCCAAAGAAUAAGCACCGGCUAACUUCGUG